rnacentral:rRNA from 1 species
CUAAGGAAUUUUGGCAAUGGGCGCAAGCCUGACCAAGCAACGCCGCGUGCGGGAUGACGGCCUUCGGGUUGUAAACCGCUUUUCUGGGGGAAGAAACAGCGGUACCCCAGGAAUCAGCCCCGGCUAACUCUGUGCCAGCAGCCGCGGUAAUACAGAGGGGGGCAAGCGUUGUCCGGAUUGACUGGGCGUAAAGCGUAUGUAGGUGGUACGGCAGGUGGGGUGUUACAUCUCCAGGCUUAACCUGGAGGCAUCGCUCCAAACCGCCGCACUCGAGUCGUGCAGAGGUUGGUGGAAUUGCCGGUGUAGUGGUGAAAUGCGUAGAGAUCGGCAGGAACACCUAGAGCGAAAGCAGCCAACUGGGCACGGACUGACACUGAGGUACGACAGCGUGGGGGAGCGAACAGGAUUAGAUACCCUGGUAGUCCACGCCGUAAAACGAUGUCUGCUCGCGUCGUGGGGAGUUAUCCAUACUCCUGGGACGCUUAGCUUACGCGGUAAGCAGACCGCCUGGGGAACUACGAGCGCAAGCUUAAAACUUAAAGGAAUUGACGGGGUCAUAGCUGUUUCCU